CAGGGAGACAACAAAAUGUAAAUAUUAAUUUUGUCACCUUAGGUCGAUCGGUAUCUCACAUUCUUAAUUUAUUAAGAAUUUUAUUUCCUAAGUUUUUUCUAGGUCACACCCAUUACUUUCCCUGGGCCAUUAGCUCAGGUGGUUAGAGCGCACCCCUGAUAAGGGUGAGGUCCCUGGUUCAAGUCCAGGAUGGCCCAUCUCUCUAUGUUGGGGGUAUAGCUCAGUUGGUAGAGCGCCUGCUUUGCAAGCAGGAUGUCAGCGGUUCGAGUCCGCUUACCUCCACUGAUUUCCACCUCUUCCAUAUUUUUAGAAGGGAAAAGUUUUGAGUUGUGAUCGAAUUCUGAACGAAUCUAGCUUCCUAAUCAAAUUUAUUAAGAUGCUGGACUCAUUGAAUUAAUUUCAUUGUUUUCAGAGAACCUUGACAACUGCAUAGAUUAUUUUUAAAGACAAUAAGCAUCUUUUAAAGAUGCAGAUUGAUUAUUUGUGCGAAUGCAUCAAUAACAAUUCUAUUAAGCUGAUGCUUCAAUUUUGAAGUUAUU
rnacentral:tRNA from 1 species